rnacentral:rRNA from 1 species
AACGAACGCUGGCGGCGCGCCUAAUACAUGCAAGUCGAGCGAGAAGACGUAGCAAUACGUUUGUAAAGCGGCGAACGGGUGAGGAAUACAUGGGUAACCUACCCUCGAGUGGGGAAUAACUAGCCGAAAGGUUAGCUAAUACCGCGUACGCUCCUUGGACUUCGGUUCAGGGAGGAAAGCGAUACCGUGGGUAUCGCGCUCUUGGAUGGGCUCAUGUCCUAUCAGCUUGUUGGUGAGGAACGGCUCACCAAGGCUUCGACGGGUAGCUGGUCUGAGAGGACGAUCAGCCACACUGGCACUGCGACACGGGCCAGACUCCUACGGGAGGCAGCAGUAAGGAAUAUUGCGCAAUGGGCGAAAGCCUGACGCAGCGACGCCGCGUGGGGGAUGAAGGUCUUCGGAUUGUAAACCCCGUUCCGGGAGGGAAGAUGGAACGAGCAAUCGUUCGGACGGUACCUCCAGAAGCAGCCACGGCUAACUUCGU